UACGGAGGGUGCAAGCGUUAUCCGGAUUCACUGGGUUUAAAGGGUGCGUAGGAGGGCAGGUAAGUCAGUGGUGAAAUCUCUGGGCUUAACCCAGAAACUGCCGUUGAUACUAUUGUCUUGAAUAUCCUGGAGGUAGGCGGAAUAUGUCAUGUAGCGGUGAAAUGCUUAGAUAUGACAUAGAACACCGAUAGCGAAGGCAGCUUACUACAGGAUGAUUGACGCUGAGGCACGAAAGCGUGGGGAGCAAACAGG
rnacentral:rRNA from 1 species